rnacentral:misc_RNA from 1 species
UUUCCGUAGGUGAACCUGCGGAGGGAACAUUACUGAGUGACGGCUCACGCCCGACCUCCAACCCCUUGUGAACACAUCUUGUUGCUUCGGGGGCGACCCUGCCGUUCGCGGCGUGGGGCCCCCGGAGCCCAUCAAACCCUGCGUAACUAAGUCGUCGGAGUUUAAACAAAUUAAACAAAACUUUCAACAACGGAUCUCUUGGUUCGGGCAUCGAUGAAGAACGCAGC